AUUUGGAGGGGCAAGAGUUCCAAAGAGCGGAUUUCACGUGGAGACAGCUUUCUGGGUCAAGGUGGUUGGCCCUGGGGAGCAGGCACCGUCAAGUGAAUGGAUGAAUACAGAUGAAGCCGGCACUUGCUUUAAAACUGGGAUCUGUGAGCUAUUCUCUUCCACAGCUGCACUCAGGCUCCUCAUUCUCUCAGGACUUGCUGGAAGGAGAUGUCUAGACCAUCCCUGGACGGUCAGCGGUGGGCACUUCACCAGCUGUUGACACGACAGACCCUGGCCGAACUCAGAGCGCAUUUUCUGAGAGCCUGCUCCACGCCAAACUUGUCGGGUAUACAGAGCUAAAUCAGCUAAAUCACCUCCAGCAGCUCAUGGUCCAGCAGGGGAUUCCACAAGGUAACAAGACCAACGAGGUUACGAUCAAGCCGCAGGAAAAAAAAUUAUCCAGGUGUUGAGGAGGCACUAGAACAUUCCCAGCUCAAAAACUCCAUCAUUCACCUCUCCCUCAAUUCCUCUCACCGAAGUGCAAAUGGUUUAUCUUCAUUACCAAGAAACAGUCUGGGCAUGGUGGCUCACAGCUGUAAUCUCAGCACUUUGGGAGGCC